CCACUGCCAUGUGUAUCAGUAGAACUUCAGCUUUCUUUCACUUCAACAUGUAAGAAAACCGUGACCUCUGGGCCUUAAUGGAGUUGCUUCAGAAUACAAAAGUCGUGAUUCGAGUCAUGCUAAUUAUUUUGAUCUUACACGGUUCCUCAGCCUACAGCCCACAGGAGCUCAGUGUCUUGGUGGGAACAGACGUGACUCUCGGCUGCGUCUUUGAUAAACUAUCCAAGCAGGUGGAGUGGAGCGCCCUAACCGUUGAGUGGAACGUGGUGGAUAAACAUGGAGGGAAGAGAACUGUGUACACGUUUGUGGACGGUGUAGCACACAUAAACAGAGACGGCUCAGAGGUGGAUGAAGAGCGGUUGCUGCGUAGUGAUGCAUCUCUGAAGCUUUGUAAUGUGACUGUGGGGGAUGAAGGCCUUUACACAUGUCGGAUCAUCCAACCUGUUGUCUACACAGAGACCAUUUCUGUGGAAGUGCUGGCUCAGCCUUCAGUGUUGCUACCAGAGACGGCAGCAGUGUCAGAGGGGCAGGAGAAGACGAUACAGUGUAACAUCACAGGUUACUAUCCAGACAAGCUGGAUGUGACGUGGCACAUCCAAAAUGGCUCCAACACCAUCCUCGCUGGUGUGAACCAACUCUUCAGUGUCUGCACAAAUAUGGCCAUUCACAAUCCAGAUGGCACUUUUAGCAUACGCAGCGGGAUCACGGUGCACUCUGCAGCAGUGAAGGGUGGAGAAAUACACCUCAUCUGCAGGGUGGAGCAUCAGACCUUCAGCGAGGCGUACAUCAGAUCUGUAACAGUCACUGUUCAAGCUCAGUCGUUACCCUCCUCUGUUGUUGGUGUGCUCAUCGGCCUCGGAAGUUUCAUGAUCUUUGGGAUAAUCGUCACUCUUAUUGGAGUCUGUCUGAUGAUCGUCAGGCAUCUCUCCAAAGAUCCGCCGAGCGUUUCUCAAAUCACACCCAACAUCAUCUAUGCAGAGGUCCCGACACAGCUUCAGUGCACCAUCCGAGGAGAGAAAAAACAGGGUCUCAAAGUGAAAUGGUUUCAGUUGAGAAGUAUUACAGAGUCAGAUGUCCUAUCAGAAUCUGCUCCUCUGCUGGUCUCUGAUGACCUGAGCCACAGAGCUUCUCUGAAGUCAGACGGCCAAAAUCACAUAUCUGUCCUGCCUGUUUGUCUGAGUGUGACUGAGGAUAAGACCACAUACCAGUGUGAGGUCCAAUGCAGAGACAAGACCAUCAGGAGAGAGACCACAGUCGAGGUGAAAGUCGAGCCAUCUCUCCUCCAGAUCUCCAGCAUCCCUCAGAUCCCAAGGGUGGAGAAACAGCUGGUCCUCUGCUGUCGGGUGGAGAACUUCUAUCCCCCAGAUGUGGAUCUGGUGUGGUCUAGGGACGACAGUGAGAAGGUCAGCCACAUCACACACUUUGGACCUUUCUCCUCCCAAAACCACCUGUACAGCGUGUGGAGUAAGAUCGAGCUGCUGAUGGCCAGAGAGGACGAGAGAGUGGUCUACACCUGCAGAGUUUACCACACCAGCUUCGCUGAACAAGGCUACAAAGAUGUCACAUACCACAUCAACACUAGAGGAACUGCUCCUGAGCCAAAGUUCAUCGAGUGUGACCCACAGGUGCCUCUGUUAAAUAAAGAAUGCACUCUGCACCUCUGCGUCGAAGGCUUCUGUCCAGAGGACCUGACUGUGACCUGGACUAAAAACGGACAGGAGGUCAUCUCAGGUGUCUUCAACACUCCCCCUAGCCUGAACAUUAGCGGCCUCUACUCCAUGUUCACUUUUCUCAAAUUCACCCCCACUGAGGACGACAAAGAAGCCGACUUCAGGUGUAAGGUGGUCCACAGUGCCCAGAAGGAACCUGGAGAGGAAAGGAUCUUCAUGCUGCCGAUCCUGCAGGUGCCAAAUGGUUGCUGAGAGAACUGUUCUGUGUUAAUGCAGCAGUUUCUUUGUGUUAUGACAAACAUGAACAGUUAACUAAUGUCAUUUCUCAGUCUCUUUAACCAGCAGAGAAGUGAAGUAUUGACUAAAAAACUGACAGUGUUAUUUACUCUUUUUAAAACUUUGUUUUCUGUCUUUUUUUACAUCGUUUAGAAUUUAGAUAUGUUUGUGAAGAGUUCUGAUCAAAGUGAAACUGAGUGAAAACAACACACUUUGUGUUUUAUGCUCAGUUUUUUUGUUCCGAUGGAAUUGUUGAUUACGGGGCUUUCUAAGCUGCUGCAGAAGAUCACAGAUUUAAGAGAUGUUUUCAGCCUGAUGUUCAGAGUUGAGCUGUCUAUAACUGUUAGUAUUCAGCAAAAAUAGAACUAACCAAAACAUACAUUAAUCCAAAUAAAUUCAUACCAUCCUCACAUGCUGUAAUUUUUUUCUGUUUUCUUAUUGACAGACAGACAUUGACUGACUAUACUUGUCUGUCAAUAAGAAAACACAGAUAAAAUAUACAAUACAGCCAAGCAUGAGCUUCAG